rnacentral:misc_RNA from 1 species
GAAAUGCGAUAAGUAAUGUGAAUUGCAGAAUUCCGUGAAUCAUCGAAUCUUUGUACGCACAUUGCGCCCUCUGGCAUUCCGGGGGGCAUGCCUGUCCGAGCGUCAUUACGCACCCUCAAGCCCGGCUUGUGUGAUGGGCCCCGGCGUCUCGUUCGCGAGACGGGCCCGAAAGGCAGCGGCGGCGUCGACCCGAUGAGCCCGAGCGUAUGGGGACUUCUGUCACACGUUCGCGGUGCGGACCGGCGCCUGCUUGACUUUUCUGAUUAUCCAGGUUGACCUCGGAUCAGGUAGGGAUACCCGCUGAACUUAAGC